rnacentral:lncRNA from 1 species
GCCCAUAGCUCCUUCGACGGCGCCGCCUAGGAACGCGGAGAAAAUAUGACAAAGGAACGGCCAAAAAUAAAAAGAAAGACCUUUCUUUUGAAAAAACAAACAAAUAAAAGGAAUGCAACACAAGGACUUCCCAGGAGGUCACCCAUCCUAGUACUACUCUCGCCCAAGCACGCUUAACUUCGGAGUUCUGAUGGGAUCCGGUGCUUUAGUGCUGGUAUGAUCGCAUCCGACAUACCGUGCGUUCUCCUCCCCUUUAUGCCCGCGCCUCCGUGUACGGCCCGCCCAUAGCUCCUUCGACGGCGCCGCCUAGGAACGCGGAGAAAAUAUGACAAAGGAACGGCCAAAAAUAAAAAGAAAGACCUUUCUUUUGAAAAAACAAACGCCUCCGUGUACGGCCCGCCCAUAGCUCCUUCGACGGCGCCGCCUAGGAACGCGGAGAAAAUAUGACAAAGGAACGGCCAAAAAUAAAAAGAAAGACCUUUCUUUUGAAAAAACAAACAAAAAAAAGGAAUGCAACACGAGGACUUCCCAGGAGGUCACCCAUCCUAGUACUACUCUCGCCCAAGCACGCUUAACUUCGGAGUUCUGAUGGGAUCCGGUGCUUUAGUGCUGGUAUGAUCGCAUCCGACAUACCGUGCGUUCUCCUCCCCUUUAUGCCCGCGCCUCCGUGUACGGCCCGCCCAUAGCUCCUUCGACGGCGCCGCCUAGGAACGCGGAGAAAAUAUGACAAAGGAACGGCCAAAAAUAAAAAGAAAGACCUUUCUUUUGAAAAAACAAACGCCUCCGUGUACGGCCCGCCCAUAGCUCCUUCGACGGCGCCGCCUAGGAACGCGGAGAAAAUAUGACAAAGGAACGGCCAAAAAUAAAAAGAAAGACCUUUCUUUUGAAAAAACAAACAAAAAAAAGGAAUGCAACACGAGGACUUCCCAGGAGGUCACCCAUCCUAGUACUACUCUCGCCCAAGCACGCUUAACUUCGGAGUUCUGAUGGGAUCCGGUGCUUUAGUGCUGGUAUGAUCGCAUCCGACAUACCGUGCGUUCUCCUCCCCUUUAUGCCCGCGCCUCCGUGUACGGCCCGCCCAUAGCUCCUUCGACGGCGCCGCCUAGGAACGCGGAGAAAAUAUGACAAAGGAACGGCCAAAAAUAAAAAGAAAGACCUUUCUUUUGAAAAAACAAACAAAUAAAAGGAAUGCAACACGAGGACUUCCCAGGAGGUCACCCAUCCUAGUACUACUCUCGCCCAAGCACGCUUAACUUCGGAGUUCUGAUGGGAUCCGGUGCUUUAGUGCUGGUAUGAUCGCAUCCGACAUACCGUGCGUUCUCCUCCCCUUUAUGCCCGCGCCUCCGUGUACGGCCCGCCCAUAGCUCCUUCGACGGCGCCGCCUAGGAACGCGGAGAAAAUAUGACAAAGGAACGGCCAAAAAUAAAAAGAAAGACCUUUCUUUUGAAAAAACAAACAAAAAAAAAGGAAUGCAACACGAGGACUUCCCAGGAGGUCACCCAUCCUAGUACUACUCUCGCCCAAGCACGCUUAACUUCGGAGUUCUGAUGGGAUCCGGUGCUUUAGUGCUGGUAUGAUCGCAUCCGACAUACCGUGCGUUCUCCUCCCCUUUAUGCCCGCGCCUCCGUGUACGGCCCGCCCAUAGCUCCUUCGACGGCGCCGCCUAGGAACGCGGAGAAAAUAUGACAAAGGAACGGCCAAAAAUAAAAAGAAAGACCUUUCUUUUGAAAAAACAAACAAAAAAAAGGAAUGCAACACGAGGACUUCCCAGGAGGUCACCCAUCCUAGUACUACUCUCGCCCAAGCACGCUUAACUUCGGAGUUCUGAUGGGAUCCGGUGCUUUAGUGCUGGUAUGAUCGCAUCCGACAUACCGUGCGUUCUCCUCCCCUUUAUGCCCGCGCCUCCGUGUACGGCCCGCCCAUAGCUCCUUCGACGGCGCCGCCUAGGAACGCGGAGAAAAUAUGACAAAGGAACGGCCAAAAAUAAAAAGAAAGACCUUUCUUUUGAAAAAACAAACAAAAAAAAGGAAUGCAACACGAGGACUUCCCAGGAGGUCACCCAUCCUAGUACUACUCUCGCCCAAGCACGCUUAACUUCGGAGUUCUGAUGGGAUCCGGUGCUCUAGUGCUGGUAUGAUCGCAUCCGACAUACCGUGCGUUCUCCUCCCCUUUAUGCCCGCGCCUCCGUGUACGGCCCGCCCAUAGCUCCUUCGACGGCGCCGCCUAGGAACGCGGAGAAAAUAUGACAAAGGAACGGCCAAAAAUAAAAAGAAAGACCUUUCUUUUGAAAAAACAAACAAAAAAAAAGGAAUGCAACACGAGGACUUCCCAGGAGGUCACCCAUCCUAGUACUACUCUCGCCCAAGCACGCUUAACUUCGGAGUUCUGAUGGGAUCCGGUGCUUUAGUGCUGGUAUGAUCGCAUCCGACAUACCGUGCGUUCUCCUCCCCUUUAUGCCCGCGCCUCCGUGUACGGCCCGCCCAUAGCUCCUUCGACGGCGCCGCCUAGGAACGCGGAGAAAAUAUGACAAAGGAACGGCCAAAAAUAAAAAGAAAGACCUUUCUUUUGAAAAAACAAACAAAUAAAAGGAAUGCAACACGAGGACUUCCUAGGAGGUCACCCAUCCUAGUACUACUCUCGCCCAAGCACGCUUAACUUCGGAGUUCUAAUGGGAUCCGGUGCUUUAGUGCUGGUAUGAUCGCAUCCGACAUACCGUGCGUUCUCCUCCCCUUUAUGCCCGCGCCUCCGUGUACGGCCCGCCCAUAGCUCCUUCGACGGCGCCGCCUAGGAACGCGGAGAAAAUAUGACAAAGGAACGGCCAAAAAUAAAAAGAAAGACCUUUCUUUUGAAAAAACAAACAAAAAAAAGGAAUGCAACACGAGGACUUCCCAGGAGGUCACCCAUCCUAGUACUACUCUCGCCCAAGCACGCUUAACUUCGGAGUUCUGAUGGGAUCCGGUGCUUUAGUGCUGGUAUGAUCGCAUCCGACAUACCGUGCGUUCUCCUCCCCUUUAUGCCCGCGCCUCCGUGUACGGCCCGCCCAUAGCUCCUUCGACGGCGCCGCCUAGGAACGCGGAGAAAAUAUGACAAAGGAACGGCCAAAAAUAAAAAGAAAGACCUUUCUUUUGAAAAAACAAACAAAAAAAAGGAAUGCAACACGAGGACUUCCCAGGAGGUCACCCAUCCUAGUACUACUCUCGCCCAAGCACGCUUAACUUCGGAGUUCUGAUGGGAUCCGGUGCUUUAGUGCUGGUAUGAUCGCAUCCGACAUACCGUGCGUUCUCCUCCCCUUUAUGCCCGCGCCUCCGUGUACGGCCCGCCCAUAGCUCCUUCGACGGCGCCGCCUAGGAACGCGGAGAAAAUAUGACAAAGGAACGGCCAAAAAUAAAAAGAAAGACCUUUCUUUUGAAAAAACAAACAAAAAAAAGGAAUGCAACACGAGGACUUCCCAGGAGGUCACCCAUCCUAGUACUACUCUCGCCCAAGCACGCUUAACUUCGGAGUUCUGAUGGGAUCCGGUGCUUUAGUGCUGGUAUGAUCGAAUCCGACAUACCGUGCGUUCUCCUCCCCUUUAUGCCCGCGCCUCCGUGUACGGUCCGCCCAUAGCUCCUUCGACGGCGCCGCCUAGGAACGCGGAGAAAAUAUGACAAAGGAACGGCCAAAAAUAAAAAGAAAGACCUUUCUUUUGAAAAAACAAACAAAUAAAAGGAAUGCAACACGAGGACUUCCCAGGAGGUCACCCAUCCUAGUACUACUCUCGCCCAAGCACGCUUAACUUCGGAGUUCUGAUGGGAUCCGGUGCUUUAGUGCUGGUAUGAUCGCAUCCGACAUACCGUGCGUUCUCCUCCCCUUUAUGCCCGCGCCUCCGUGUACGGCCCGCCCAUAGCUCCUUCGACGGCGCCGCCUAGGAACGCGGAGAAAAUAUGACAAAGGAACGGCCAAAAAUAAAAAGAAAGACCUUUCUUUUGAAAAAACAAACAAAUAAAAGGAAUGCAACACGAGGACUUCCCAGGAGGUCACCCAUCCUAGUACUACUCUCGCCCAAGCACGCUUAACUUCGGAGUUCUGAUGGGAUCCGGUGCUUUAGUGCUGGUAUGAUCGCAUCCGACAUACCGUGCGUUCUCCUCCCCUUUAUGCCCGCGCCUCCGUGUACGGCCCGCCCAUAGCUCCUUCGACGGCGCCGCCUAGGAACGCGGAGAAAAUAUGACAAAGGAACGGCCAAAAAUAAAAAGAAAGACCUUUCUUUUGAAAAAACAAACAAAAAAAAGGAAUGCAGCACCAGGACUUCCCGGAAGGUCACCCAUCCAAAUACAACUCUCGCCGAACCACGUUUAACUUCGAAUUUCUAAUGGAAUCCGGGGCUUUAGAGCUGGAAUGAUCGCAUCCGACAUACCGUGCGUUCUCCUCCCCUUUAUGCCCGCGCCUCCGUGUACGGCCCGCCCAUAGCUCCUUCGACGGCGCCGCCUAGGAACGCGGAGAAAAUAUGACAAAGGAGCGGCCAAAAAUAAAAAGAAAGACCUUUCUUUUGAAAAAACAAACAAAUAAAAGGAAUGCAACACGAGGACUUCCUAGGAGGUCACCCAUCCUAGUACUACUCUCGCCCAAGCACGCUUAACUUCGGAGUUCUGAUGGGAUCCGGUGCUUUAGUGCUGGUAUGAUCGCAUCCGACAUACCGUGCGUUCUCCUCCCCUUU